GGCAAAACAUCUUCAAGGAUUGCAGUUCCUCUUGGUCAGAAGGAUGGAGCCAUAAAAAAUGAUUCGAUAGUGUUUUCGUUCGAGACCCCCAUGUGGAAGCACUACGUGAUCAGAGUCACAAGUGUUGUUGCUAGUUGUACCCUGUCGUGGUUAAUUGUUAAAACUACUGCCGCUCGCAUUGAAGAUGACCUCUCCAUUCUCAAGAAAUGAGUUAAUUUGACUGUAUCAGCAUAUCUAAGUAUCUAAGUAACAAGGUAGUAUCGUGUUGAAGCACUCUAUUUAUGGUAUGUUUUGUGCGAGUAUACUCUCAGACAAUUUGUGACCAAUGUGCUGUGUUCUGAUGUUACCUUUGUAGAAAGGUGGUAGAAACUAUGGGACUAUAAUGUACUAUGUUGAAUCAGUUGAAUGUAUUGAAACUUUAGAAGCGACGGUCGCCACUUGGGCA